UCUGCAUCUCCAUCCUCAACUACACUUUUAAGAGGCCUAAUUAUAUCAUCAUUGGGCCUGUUAUAUUCAACUUGAAUUUCUUUCUUGGGUGCUUCCAUUUCUGCCAUCUGGGUCUCUAAUGCUUUUGCUGAUCUAAGCACUUCCUCUGCCUCGUCAGUCUUCCCUUCACGUCUCAAAGCAAGAGCCUUUCUUUUCAAACCUAAGAGUUCCCUCUGUACUUCACCUUUACUUCUUCUAGUUGUCCUUGAUGAAAUAUUCAAUGAGGCGUCUGAGGUAUCAAAGAUUUGAAUAGAAUGAUUAUCAUUUUCCUUGGAAGGUUUCAAUAAUGAGCUUGCAGACUCAUUAGCUUCAUCUUUCCAACCCAAGUUCUUUAGAAGAGAAAGGUAUGUUGGAUCAUGCAUAUCUUGAUCUGUUACAUCCUCUGCCACUUCCCCAAUUGGUUUAUUUCCAUGAAUAUCAGGAUGUUCAAAUGCUGAACCUGGGUCCUUACUACCAUUGGUCACUUGCGUAGCCUCAGACUUUGAAGUAUUGUCCAACUCUUCAAGCUGCCGUUCAAGAAAUCUACCUUUCUUCAAUUCUUCCUCCGCCUCGUCCAUUUUUCCUUCCCUUCUCAAAGAAAGAGCCUUCUUUUUCAAAGCCAGAAGUUCCUUUUGAAUCAAUAAUCUAUUCUUUGGUGCAGGUUUGGAAUCCAAAUCUCUCUUCACACAGAUAUUUUGUGAACUUGAACCUUUCUGAAUAAUUGUGGGAUUCUGUGUGUCUAAAUUGUCUGCUUCACCCUCCAGCCUUUCCAGGUCCCUUUCAAGUAGCUUUGCUUUCUUUAGACGUGCCAUUGCCUCAGUAACAUUACCUGCCCGUUUUUUGUUAAGUGCCUCUAUUUUCAGUGAAUGAAUUUCACUCAGUAGGGCUUCCCUGUUAAUGGCGACAGACUGGGCCACAGUGUUUCGCUGAUUGUCAGAAUCAUCAGUCCAACCUAAUGAUUUUAAUGUAGCUGCUAUUUCUGGGUCCAUCAGAUCCUCAUCUGUCACUUCCAAGUUGUUAUCAUCACGAAGAUCAUCAGCUGUGCCCAUAAGGUGAUCAAAAUCAAAACCUUGCUCCUGUUCAUAUCCUACUAACAAUUCGUCCUGUUUAUCAUCACCCAUACCACGGAUUAGUGCAGAUAUCUCAUCAUCAGAAUCUUCAGACACACCCAACAGUUCUUGUUCUUCAAGCUGCUUCUCUAAGACUUUAGCUUUCUUUAAUUCUUCCUUGGCUUCUGCAAGCUUUCCUUCACGCUUCAACGCAAGAGCCUUUCUUUUAUGUGCAACAACCUCAGUCUUGUCAAUGCCACUGGUCCCCACAUCUUUACCAGUCCUUUGAGAGUUGUCUCCAAGAAGAGAAGACAGUUCACCCUCCAAACUCAUAUUCACGGAUUUUUUAUCUUCAUCACGUGGAUCUGCAUCAGUCCAGCCCAAUUCUCUUAGUUCAGCAGUAAGAUCAUCCUUCUCUUUACCUGCUUGAGCAAAGAGUUUACUUUUUGUGCCAGACUCUUUAGAGCCAUCUUUAUUCAGAAUCUCACCCAUGUUGCCAGACUGCAAAACCUUCCUACGGUUUUUUCUUAUAGACAUUUCCAAAGCAUCAGCCUGCCUCUCAAGCUCUUUUCCUCUUUUAAAUGCUUUUAAAGCUUCCUCAGGCUUUCCCUCUCCUUUCAGAAUUUUAUACCUCUUUUUUUCAUCUAAAGCUUGUUGACGUAAUUUAUCUGGACUCGUUGAUCCUAUCUCAUUCUGUGUAUGAUUAGGCUCAUUAGCAGAACGACUUCUAUGUAUUUCUACUCCACCAUCCAGCACAAAAUCUUCUUGAGGAGUUGAGCGUGAAGCACUGCUACUUGCCCUUUGAAUAGUGAAAGCUGUGUCAGUGUUGAAUUUUUGUGCUGAUGAAGAUUCCUUCCCAUCAUUGCCUAGUAUCUGGUUCAAAAUUUCAUCCUCAGACUUCGAUGUCAAUUUUGAACUUCCUCUGCCAAUUCUGCUCUUGUGGCCAUAACGCAUCUCAAAACGUGCAGCCUCUUCUAGCUUUUUACAAGGUUCACAAAUACGCACAGGUGAAUCACCUUGCCCACGUAAAACCAUCCGUUGCUGAGUGCAACUGUUGCAAAACAAACCACCACAUCUUCGGCAAUGAUGCUUUCGAUUAAUGAAGGUGAAUUGAGAGGAACAGCCUUGGCAAUGUGAUGCGUCAACAACCCAAUUACUCCCUCUCAGAGAUGGCUUUGCUGGCAAUCCAAUCUUCUCCAACAUCUCCUCUCUCGAAAUCAAAAACCUAAAAAUCGACUAAAAACAAGCAGAUCGGGGGAUUCUAGUUCGCUGCAAGAUGAGGUUUUUCUCCUUUUUUUUUUUUUUCCCACCAAACAUCAAGCAGAAU
rnacentral:misc_RNA from 1 species